rnacentral:lncRNA from 1 species
AAAAAAAAAACAAACUCCCAAGACACAUUUCCUUGUCCAUGGUCCGUGAGCAUUUGUUUACAUUAAUAGCACAAUGUCGGUUCCCAUGUAAAUUUGUAGUUUACAGUAAUCCUCCACUGCAGAGGGAUUUACACAUGUUGUUUUCACACAUAUAUACAUGCUCAAUCAUACAGACACACACAGACACAUGCACAGACACACACACAUACACACACACACACACACACACACACACACACACACACACGAGGUUCUGUAAUUCUGAAUUUGGCUUUUAAGAAAAAAGUGGAGUGAAAUUGGAAAAGAGGAUUUUGUCAUGACCUUAGUUCCCACAUGUCUGUUGGAAUAGAAAAAAAAAAUCCCUACAGGCACUGUUGGUGCACACCUUUAAUCCCAGCACUUGGGAGGCAGAGGCAGGUGGAUUUCUGAGUAAAGGCCAGCCUGGUCUACAGAGUGAAUUCCAGGACAACCAGGGCUACACAGAGAAGCCUUGUCUUAAAAAACUAAAGAAAGAAAAAAAGAAAGAAAGAAAAUCCCUCUCUGAUAUUUAAAAAAAAGGAAAGAAUCCAUGCCUACCACUUCCUCAGCAAGGAUCUCUAAGUGACAAAUUUCAUCAUUUUUAAAUAUUAGAAAAUAAUAUAAACAUACCAAAUUCUGUAUGUGAUAUUUACUAAAUAGCUACCUCUCACCUUUGAAGUUCUACAACUACAUUCCUGGCAGAGGACUUCCUAUGGGACCCUCACACCACCACCUUGCUCAGGGGGCACCCAUUCACAUUCCAGAGGGACUUUCCCACCCUGUUCCUUCACACCCCUACUUUCUGUCACUUAACAGCUCCCUUGGGUAUCUCUGUAUCUCCUAGUGCUAGGAAUGCUCUUCAUAUUGUUAAAAGAAAGAAAGACUUUAGAAAGAACAGGUAUUCAUUGAGCUACAAACCAGGCAACACUGUGUGUGAUGGGUGGACUCCCGCUGGGGAUCAAGAGUUUACAAGCAGGGUCUGGCUAUAUGACUCAGAAACAUUUUUUUGCUCCCACAGAGAACCUAGAUUGGAUUCCUAGCACCAUCAUGGUGGUCCACAAUCAUUCCUAACUCUAGUUCCAGGGAAUUUGAUGACAUUUUCUGACCUCAACAGCCAUCAGGCAUGUGUGUGGGGCACAUACAUUAAUGCAAGUGAAACUCUUAUACGCAUAAAAUAAAAAUAAAUCUGAAACAUCCUAUUUAAAGAAUUAAUAGAUAACAUGUGGAAGUCCAGCUCAUUGUGCGUGGCAACUCUCGAGAAGGUUCAGGUGGUGGUUUUUCAUGGAGGAGUCUAUAGUUUCAUUUUCUUCUUCACUGGGCUUUGAUGUGUUUACAUAGAAACCUGAUCUUUCUCAGUCUAAUGACCUAUGGAAAACAUUUUUAAUGUAUACAUGUUCAGAAAAGCCUUGCUAGGCUUAUUUAUUUACUUAAACAUUUAGUGUGUGCAUGUGUGUGUGUGUGUGUGUGUGUGUGUGUGUGUGUGUGUGUGUGAAGGUAUCCUGAGUGUGUGCAUGUAUGUGUGCCACCUGUGUGCAGGUGCUCACAAAGACCAGAAGAGGGUAUUGGAUCCCCUGGAGAUGAGGUUAUAGAUAGUGAAUGCUAGGAAUCAAACUGAGAUUUUCUAAAGGAACAAGUAUUUUUGAUUGGUGAGCCAUCUCUACUAGUUAUUGAAAUCCCAAUUUAGCUGCUAUUUUGCAAUCAGGUAUUCCUUUGCCUGCUAAGGAAUGGAGAGUUUCCCUCUUCUUCAUUCUUAAGUGGUUGGGAGCUCUGUGUAUUAUAGUGUGUCUCUCAAGGGGUAAAAAUAAUGUGAUAGCCUUUAAAAUGUCCAUUUCUUCCUUGGGGACCCAGGGUCAACAAAUGGCAACAGCCUUGUCGGCAUGUGUGGCUCUCCAGAUACAGUGUUCUCCAGGGCUAGGUUCACAACGUUCCCUUCCCUGAGUCCAGUAAAGUGAUGGGUACUCAACAGCAAAGUCCAAAUCCUGCUCCCGAGGUGCUUCCCUGUCCUCCCUGGCUGUGGAGUGGCUCUGGAGGGUGGGGUCAUUUGAUGACUUGCUAGGCUAGUUCACAAGAGGAACCUCUCAUUACUUGAGAAAAGUCAACAACAAAUGCUGAAACAUUUUUCUAAAAAAUGUAAUUCUUAUAUUACCCAAGGCCUGUGUGUGGGCAACUGAGCUGGGGGCUCUGGAGUCAGACUUCCUGGUUUCUCAGAGACUGUAUCAGAACACAUAUACCCUCACAUCUCCAUCUUACAAGUGGGAGUAAAAUCCAGAGCAUACACUGCUAAGCAUGCAGGGGUUCACUAGUGCCCAGUACACGGAAAUUCUGUUCCUGCUGCUGCUAUUAUUAUUAUUAGUAGUAGUAGUAGUAGUAAUGUUAAUAUUAUUAUUAUUCUCAAUUAAACAUCACACAGUGUCUUGUGAUCUAGUGUAGGGCCUAUAUUGAAUCAGUGAACUGGAGUCUUUUUUAAACUUAAUCAUUUCUUAAUUAUAUAUAAAUCAAAUACCUGGGGAAAUUAGAGAUUAGUGAAAGGAAUUUUAGAACUAUUUUGUGCAGUUUUAGUAGCUAAAUACAUGAUAUAUC